rnacentral:lncRNA from 1 species
GCAUAUGUCAUGUUUCGAAUCUGGCAACGUCCAAUUUGAAUUAUUGUCGUCCUCUUUAUCUCUUCUAGAUUUUUUUUUGCGGAAAUCUCUUCUUGAUUUUAGAUUCAUCAACCAGGGUAUCAUUUCCAACCGUCAGUGUCCUAGCUGGAGAUCACUUCCUUUUUUUGCGUAUGUCCUUCCUUAUCUUUUCCAUCCUUAAAUUAUAAGAUACGUAGCAGCGCGCACAUGUAUAUAAAAAUAUUAUCCUUCUUUAUUUCUCUUGUGAAGAGUCUCUGGUUCCUUCCUUAUUUACCAUGAUCUCUGAGAGACUUCCUGAUACCCAGGAAAUGAAUGAUGUAUAUAAAUAAGAUAGAUUGGAUGUAAAUCAGCUAGGUGGGACUAGUCAAUAUCGGCCUCAACCUUCCCUUGUAGACACAGGACGUUAGCUUAGUUGACCUUGAUUUUUGCUUCUUAACCGGGAUAGAUGGGCCUCAACUUUCCCUUGUACACACAGGACGUUAGCUUAGUUGGCCUUGAUUUUUGCCUCUUAACCGGGAUAGAUGGGCCGGUUUUCUGGACCAUGACACAUGGGUUGGUUCGUUCGCUCGGCCUCGCUGGCUAACGAAGGAAACUGACGUACGAAAUAGCGGACGGAUGAAACGGACGAAAAUUAGGGCGUAAGAAGCGUUUCGUGCUUUAUUAUUAGGUAAAGAUGUGUAGGUCCUGUUGUUGUCCAAUAGAGACAUAUCACCUGGAACCAUAAAUAUCUAGUGGUGAUACUGUUGAAACUUGAAACUGGAGCGAGUUAUUUGGUGUGGCUCAACAUGUCAUAGCAAUAUGGUGCCUAGAGCAGCUUAUCUUCUUAUGUCUUAUUAUUUGGCACAAACCAAACUUCAUUAUAUUAAGUAUUCACGUUUCUAAAGACAAAUUGUUUCGUAUUCUGUCUCCGUGGGUUUCAUUGUAUAUGCUUUCCAUGUGUGUUAAAAAUUCAGUUAAAAAUAGCAAAUUCAGGCACAUGUCAUGUUUCGAAUCUGGCAACGUGCAAUUUGAAUUACUGUCGUCCUCUUUAUCUCUUCUAGAUUUUUUUUGCGGAAAUCUCUUCUAGAUUUUAGAUUCAUCAACCAGGGUAUGAUUUCCAACCGUCAAUGUCCUAGCAGGAGAUCACUUCCUUUUUUUGUGUAUGUCCUUCCUUAUCUUUUCCAUCCUUAAAUUAUAAGAUACGUAGCAGCGCGCACAUGAAUAUAUAAAUAUUAUCCUUCUUUAUUUCUCUUGUGAAGAGCCUCUGGUUCCUUCCUUAUUUAUCAUGAUCUCUGAGAGACUUCCUGAUACCCAGGAAAUGAAUGAUGUAUAUAAAUAAGAUAGAUUGGAUGUAAAUCAGCGAGGCGGGACUAUUCAAUAUCGGCCUCAACCUUCCCUUGUAGACACAGGACGUUAGCUUAGUUGGCCUUGAUUUUUGCCUCUUAACCGGGAUAGAUGGGCCUCAACUUUCCCUUGUACACACAGGACGUUAGCUUAGUUGGCCUUGAUUUUUGCCGCUUAACCGGGAUAGAUGAGCCUGAUUUUCUGGACCAUGACACAUGGGUUGGUUCGUUCGCUCGGCCUCGCUGGCCGACGAAGGAAACUGACGUACGAAAUAGCGGACGGACGAAACGGACGAAAAUCAGGGCGUAAGAAGCGUUUCGUGCUUUAUUAUUAGGUAAAGAUGUGUAGGUCCUGUCGUUGUCCAAUAAAGACAUAUCACCUGGAACCAUAAAUAUCUAGUGGUGAUACUGUUGAAACUUGAAACUGGAGCGAGUUAUUUGGUGUGGCUCAACAUGUCAUAGCAAUAUGGUGCCUAGAGCAGCUUAUCUUCUUCUGUCUUAUUAUUUGGCACAAACCAAACUUUAUUAUAUUAAGUAUGCACGUUUCUAAAGACAAAUUGUUUCGUAUUCUGCUUCCGUGGGUUUCAUUGUAUAUGCUUGCCGUGUGUGUUAAAAAUUCAGUUAAAAAUAGCACAUUCAGGCACAUGUCAUCUUUCGAAUCUGGCAACGUGCAAUUUGAAUUAUUGUCGUCCUCUUUAUCUCUUCUAGAUUUUUUUUGCAGAAAUCUCUUCUAGAUUUUAGAUUCAUCAACCAGGGUAUCAUUUCCAACCGUCAAUGUCCUAGCAGGAGAUCACUUCCUUUUUUUGCGUAUGUCCUUCCUUAUCCUUUCCAUCUUUAAAUUAUAAGAUACAUAGCAGCGCGCACAUGUAUAUAGAAAUAUUAUCCUUCUUUAUUUCUCUUGUGAAGAGCCUCUGGUUCCUUCCUUAUUUAUCAUGAUCUCUAAGACUUCCUGAUAUCCAGGAAAUUAAUGAUGUAUAUAAAUAAGAUAGAUUGGAUGUAAAUCAGCGAGGUGGGACAAUUCAAUAUCGGCCUCAACCUUCCCUUGUAGACACAGGACGUUAGCUUAGUUGGCCUUGAUUUUUGCCUCUUAACCGGGAUAGAUGAGCCUCAACUUUCCCUUGUACACACAGGAUGUUAUCUUAGUUGGCCUUGAUUUUUGCCUCUUAACCAGGAUAGAUGGGCCGGAUUUUCUGGACCAUGACACAUGGGUUGGUUCGUUCGCUCGGCCUCGCUGGCUGACGAAGGAAACUGACGUACGAAAUAGCGGACGGACGAAAUGGACGAAUAUCAGGGUGUAAGAAGCGUUUCGUGCUUUAUUAUUAGGUAAAGAUGUGUAGGUCCUGUUGUUGUCCAAUAGAGACAUAUCACCUGGAACCAUAAAUAUCUAGUGGUGAUACUGUUGAAACUUGAAACUGGAGCGAGUUAUUUGGUGUGGCUCAACAUGUCAUAGCAAUAUGGUGCCUAGAGCAGCUUAUCUUCUUAUGUCUUAUUACUUGGCACAAACCAAACUUUAUUAUAUUAAGUAUUCACGUUUCUAAAGACAAAUUGUUUCGUAUUCUGCUUCCGUGGGUUUCAUUGUAUAUGCUUGCCGUGUGUGUUAAAAAUUCAGUUAAAAAUAGAAAAUUUAGGCACAUGUCAUGUUUCGAAUCUCGCAACGUGCAAUUUGAAUUAUUGUCGUCCUUUUUAUCUCUUCUAGAUAUUCUUUUGUGGAAAUCUCUUCUAGAUUUUAGAUUCAUCAACAAGGGUAUCAUUUCCAACCUUCAAUGUCCUAGCAGGAGAUCACUUCCUUUUUUUGCGUAUGUCCUUCCUUAUCUUUUCCAUCCUUAAAUUAUAAGAUACGUAGCAGCGCGCACAUGUAUAUAGAAAUAUUGUCCUUCUUUAUUUCUCUUGUGAAGAGCCUCUGGUUCCUUCCUUAUUUAUCAUGAUCUCUGAGAGACUUUCUGAUACCCAGGAAAUUAAUGAUCUAUAUAAAUAAGAUAGAUUGGAUGUAAAUCAGCAAGGUGGGACUAUUCAAUAUCGGCCUCAACCUUCCCUUGUAGACACAGGACGUUAGCUUAGUUGGCCUUAAUUUUUGCCUCUUAACCGGGAUAGAUGGGCCUCAACUUUCCCUUGUACACACAGGACGUUAGCUUAGUUGGCCUUGAUUUUUGCCUCUUAACCGGGAUAGAUGGGCCGGAUUUUCUGGACCAUGACACAUGGGUUGGUUCGUUCUCUCGGCCUCACUUGCUGACGAAGGAAACUGACGUACGAAAUAGCGGACGGACGAAACGGACGAAAAUCAGGGCGUAAGAAGCAUUUCGUGCUUUAUUACUAGGUAAAGAUGUGUAGGUCUUGUUGUUGUCCAAUAGAGACAUAUCACCUGGAACCAUAAAUAUCUAGUGGUGAUACUGUUGAAACUUGAAACUGGAGCGAGUUAUUUGGUGUGGCUCAACAUGUCAUAGCAAUAUGGUGCCUAGAGCAGCUUAUCUUCUUAUGUCUUAUUAUUUGGCACAAACCAAACUUUAUUAUAUUAAGUAUGCACGUUUAUAAAGACAAAUUGUUUCGUAUUCUGCUUCCGUGGGAGU